AUGAACUCUGGAUUUUGUUGCAGCAGGAGGUGCAGGCACAAAGAGGAAGAGGCAGCAGCCCUAGCCCUUUGCUCUGUGAUGCACCUCAACCACUGUGGAUAUGUUGGGGCAGUCAGGGUCUGGUUAAAGAAGGGCACUCUUUGGCCAGCCUCUGGCAACUCUCUGUGGGCAUGCUGCUUCAGCCCAUGCAGGAUCUCCUAG
rnacentral:lncRNA from 1 species